UACGUAGGGGGCAAGCGUUGUCCGGAUUUAUUGGGCGUAAAGAGCGUGUAGGCGGCUAGGUAGGUCCGUUGUGAAAACUCGAGGCUCAACCUCGAGCUGUCGAUGGAAACCAUCUGGCUAGAGUCCGGAAGAGGAGAGUGGAAUUCCUGGUGUAGCGGUGAAAUGCGCAGAUAUCAGGAAGAACACCCGUGGCGAAGGCGGCUCUCUGGUACGUGACUGACGCUGAGACGCGAAAGCGUGGGGAGCGAACCGG
rnacentral:rRNA from 1 species